UAGGUCAUCUACAAGAAGUGAGAGGAGCCGAAUAUAAACUCAUAAAACAUACCUAUGCCUGUUUUAGUAGUUGCCAUAAAAAGGGA